rnacentral:rRNA from 1 species
GUACUCGAGCGGCGAACGGGUGAGUAACACGUGAGUAACCUGCCCCUGACUCUGGGAUAAGCCCGGGAAACUGGGUCUAAUACCGGAUACGACACCUCCUGGCAUCGGGUGGGUGUGGAAAGUUUUUUCGGUUGGGGAUGGACUCGCGGCCUAUCAGCUUGUUGGUGGGGUAAUGGCCUACCAAGGCGACGACGGGUAGCCGGCCUGAGAGGGCGACCGGCCACACUGGGACUGAGACACGGCCCAGACUCCUACGGGAGGCAGCAGUGGGGAAUAUUGCGCAAUGGGCGAAAGCCUGACGCAGCGACGCCGCGUGGGGGAUGACGGCCUUCGGGUUGUAAACCUCUUUCAGCAGGGACGAAGUUGACGUGUACCUGCAGAAGAAGCGCCGGCUAACUACGUGCCAGCAGCCGCGGUAAUACGUAGGGCGCAAGCGUUGUCCGGAAUUAUUGGGCGUAAAGAGCUCGUAGGUGGCUUGUCACGUCGGGUGUGAAAGCUUGGGGCUUAACUCCAGGUCUGCAUUCGAUACGGGCUGGCUAGAGGUAGGUAGGGGAGAACGGAAUUCCUGGUGUAGCGGUGAAAUGCGCAGAUAUCAGGAGGAACACCGGUGGCGAAGGCGGUUCUCUGGGCCUUACCUGACGCUGAGGAGCGAAAGCGUGGGGAGCGAACAGGAUUAGAUACCCUGGUAGUCCACGCUGUAAACGUUGGGCGCUAGGUGUGGGGACCUUCCACGGUUUCCGCGCCGUAGCUAACGCAUUAAGCGCCCCGCCUGGGGAGUACGGCCGCAAGGCUAAAACUCAAAGGAAUUGACGGGGGCCCGCACAAGCGGCGGAGCAUGUUGCUUAAUUCGACGCAACGCGAAGAACCUUACCAAGGCUUGACAUCGCCCGGAAAGCUUCAGAGAUGGAGCCCUCUUCGGACUGGGUGACAGGUGGUGCAUGGCUGUCGUCAGCUCGUGUCUUGAGAUGUUGGGUUAAGUCCCGCAACGAGCGCAACCCUUGUUCAAUGUUGCCAGCACGCUCCUUCGGGGGGUGGUGGGGACUCAUUGGAGACUGCCGGGGUCACUCGGAGGAAGGUGGGGAUGACGUCAAGUAUCAUGGCCCU